rnacentral:rRNA from 1 species
AUGGCGGCGCGCGCCCACGACGCCGCAGUGCUCGCACUCUCCGGCCGCGCCGCCUGCCUCAACUUCGCCGACUCCGCAUGGCGGAUGCUACUCGUGCUUGCGGCCGGGUCGUUCGGCUUCGGCAGCGCGCGGGAGAUCAAGCUUGCCGUCGCCGUUGCCGUCAUCGCGUUCCAGCAGCAGCAGCAGAUUAUUCUUCCAGUCGCGUGUCCAACAGUGGAGGCGGCCGCCAGCCCGAGCAACACUCUUUUUUACAUGUCGUCCCGCGACUUGCUGGAGCUCGACGAGGAGCAGUGGUUUGGCGGCAUGGACGCUGGGUCGUACUACGAGAGCUUGGCGCAGGGGAUGCUCAUGGCGCCGCCGGACGACAGAGCGAGGCGGGAGGACGCCGAGCAGACCGGCGUCGAGACACUGACGCCGCUAUGGAACUAUUUGUUUGACUAA